rnacentral:misc_RNA from 1 species
AAGUCGUAACAAGGUUUCCGUAGGUGAACCUGCGGAAGGAUCAUUAACAAAUGUUUCCCUCACCAAACAAAAAACAAAACCAAACCAUCUUUUGCAAACCGUUAAACCCUCCUGGCGAUGAUGGGGAUAGAGUGAUGCAAAUCACUAGAUCUCCAUAUUGACUGGUGUGUUGGGUGCUCCGGCAUUCGGCACAUUGGCCUCGCUGUAUUUUUUACCAACAACAACUUCUGAAACUUUUACUGAGACUUUUCUAUAUUUAACAAAAUAUAAAAAGACAACUUUUAGCAAUGGAUCUCUAGGCUCUU